UAUUCCGAAAAUAUCCCUGCCCCUCAACUCUUAACCCUUCACUGGUUUGAUGCCGUUUCGGCAAUCACGAGACGAGACGCCUCGAUUCAGCAGAUAAUAAAACAAGGCUCCCGCCCGCCAGUCACGCCAGUGCCUCUCACUGCUUGCAGUUGCACUGCCGCCAAACCUCAUUCCCGCCUCAUCCUACAGUCACGGGUGGCCCAUCCAUUGUCUCGUCGCCGCUGUUCCUCGAGCGACUCUUUCCCUGCUCUGUCUUCUUCACUGCUUCUUUUAACUGUCGUUGCUCUUCUCCCCGCCACUUUCACCAAUGUUGUUUCCCAUUGCUUCCUUCCACUUGCCAUCAAUCUCAUUCGUCGGACUUCCUCCGUCCACUGCCAUCCCUUCAGCCCGACAAUUUCCUUCACGCCUUGUAUUUAUACUUCCCCCAUCCAUUACUUUCUCCGCUUCUGGCUUCUCCGACCAGACACUCCGCCUAUGAUCCUCGUGCAGCCGCCUUCGCCACCGGCCUCCUCUUGGCCCAACCCACGCCUACCCUUCAACGCCACAGUGCUGAGGUUGGCUGCUUCUACCUACCCAACCACCGUGCGUGUACCCGCUAACCUAUACGUGUCUUUUCACCGAUUCCCCAUCGUCCCUGUCCACGGAGUGGUCCCGCGAAUCGUGCCUUUUUAUAUUGCUUCACACACGUUCAGACUCUCCUCCAUGUCUAUCUCCAAACUGCUCCAUUUUUCCCGCCCUGAAGCUGCUUGAUCAAAUGCCUAUCACAGUCAUCCCAUUCUUUUCAGCGCCGGUUGAUCGAAUUUUGCACCAAAUAGAUGAAGUGUCACUUCAAUUUUUAUCGGUGUUUUCGGUUUCUACAGGAGACAUGAGUUGCCCUGUUGAAAUUCUAAAAGUGAUUGUGUAAUCUAUCACUUCAGAAAAGAAACAAAAGGAAACUGUACCGACUUACUGCACAGUUACAUACACGAUCCUUCCAACUUUUUGCAUUUGGCCAUUCUUUUGGAUCUGCAAUCCACCUAUUAAUUGGAUCAAGAAAUGCUGUGCAAAAAAAUGGGAUCUUGUUGAUGCCAUUCGAUAGCAAGGUAUUCCUUUAUCCUCACCUAUACUUGUUUCAAUGGCAGUAAAACCAUUUUUAUUACAUAUUACAUCAUCACCAACAGCCCAACUAGGCUAAGGAAAUGAACUCUGUUCUGCUUGUUUUCAUUAUUAAUGGGGCUCUGGCAAAUAAUUCACCAGCUAAUAUAAGGCUUAAGAAAUCUUAUGGCAUGAGGUACUCUGCAAUGACGUCAAUAUCCUAUACGAUUUUACCCAUCAUUUAUAAGGAUUUAUUCUGGGUUUUCAACUAAAGUUGAUCACUGUGGUGAUGCACCCAAGGAGAGGGCGCCAUCAAUGAGUGUUGAUUAUGAGAAGACAAGGCCACUUUAUUCCAGCUGGAUACCUUAGUUUAGCUAAUAAACUGCACAUUUGUGGCUGUACUUUUGGAUUAUUCUAUUUACUGGAGUGCUGAUAAUAAUGAUCAUGGGUCUGCAUAAAAUCUGUAAGCUAUUGUCUUUUAAGUUUCUUCUACACUUGCUUCAGCCAAUGUUUGAUCGAACUUCUAAUUUUAUUAUUGCCUUGUAUGAAUCAGAAACUUUCACAAGAUGCAUCAUGGGCCCAUUACAUGCUUAUCUUUGGUCAAGAUCAGCUUUAUUUUAAAUGGUCUUACUUCAUGAAUCAGGACCAUAAAGGUAUUGAAUCUUUCAUCGGAUAAGUGCCCAUCUAUGCUAAGGCCCUAAGAAUUGAUCGCUUUCAUCUUAUUCAAUUACUUAUACCAUCAGUUGGCAGUGGCAGUUGGGCUUGACCCAAAUAGAAAAUUAAAUUGGCAUUAACACCGCUGUUUUCACUUAGAUAGUAUUCCCCUAUGGAUUGAAGAUGAUAGAUUAGGAGCUUAACUAUAUUUCAUAUUAUUUUAUUAAUGUAGCUAAUACCCAUUUGGUCGAUUUCAUUUUUGAUAGUCAAUAGUUUUCUGUUCUCCUUUUUUUUAUUAACUAUUUAUUUUCACUUUUUCUCUGCUGCUUGAAGGAGCAUGAGUUGUGAUUGAAGCAAAUCGAUUUCUAUGGAUUAUUGGUGUCGAAGAAAUUCUUCGAGUGAUGAUGUUUCCAUUAUGAGGUAUUGCAGGGACAUCUUUAGGAGUGGGUUUUGCAAUCCCAGCUUCUUCUUUUUUUUUUUUUUUCUAGAGAAACAGAACCCAGGCCCAUUCGAUCCCAUCUUCUACUGGAAUUGGUGGGUGUUCACUGUUCAGUUAUCUAAUUUAUCAUCACAUGUCUCUGCAAAUCGCAGCCAUUAACCCUCCAAGUCCAUGCGACCAGCCUGACCAGAUCUGCUGAUCCUUAGAUCCAUCAGGAUUUUUUUUGGUUUCAUCACCGCACAAUCUUCUUGCUAAAGACUUCUGGGAUAAUGAGGGCUUGAUCUGGAAACUCAUAUAUAUGGAGAUGGGGAGGGCCUCAUAGAAUCCAAAAGUUCCUUUGGAUUGCGAUGCGGCCCAUAAUUGACUUCUCACUAAUAGUCUUCAUGCUUCGUGGAACUUUUCUCACUCUUGCCUGUGCAGCUGCUGCAGUUCAGGGGUGGAGUCUUUCAUUCAAGUGUUCCGGGACUGUGUCUAUGGGUAAGCUAUGUGGGAGACCAUUGUCCCGCAGGUAUUCCGUGAUUCUUUCUUCUCUCCUCCCCUCUUGGACUGGCUUACUUUCAACUUCCUCUCUAGAGGUGUUGUUCUCGUGCUGCCCCGUCUUAUUGGGCAAGUGUAUUUGCUAUGGCCUGUUGUUUAUUAUGGUCUGGGCAGAACGAGGAGCUUUCUGAACAGAAUUUUUCUGAACAGAAUUUUUCUGAACGGCUGCUUCCUUCCAGCCGGCUUACAACGAUUGCUGUCGUUUGUUGGGACCUAUUAGGGCGUGCAAAUUAGAGGGCUGGAAGAUGUUAGGACCACUCGGAGAUGUUGCCAAUUCAAGUCGAUGAUGCCAUCCAAGUUGGAAGAUUUAUUUAUUUUUAAAUAAAAAAUUAAUUCCAGGAAUAUCUUUAAGUCAUAGCUUCAUAUAUAUAUACAUGUCCAUGAAAGUAGUGUGGGUGGAAGUAGGCUAAUUAUUCAAACUCACUCAUUUUGGUUUCUUUGAAGUACUUUGAACUGAAAUUUGUACAUUGAGCAAUUUGUUAAUUUUGCUUUAAGAUACUGGAUUUGAGUAAUAUGCUUGAGUCUUGUUAUUCUUAUCUAUUUAGGUGAAUUAACGAGAACUAUUUUUUGA